rnacentral:rRNA from 1 species
GAUGAACGCUGGCGGCGUGCCUAACACAUGCAAGUCGAACGGAGCAGUCACGCUGAUGAUGGAGAUGCUUGCAUCAAAAGAAUCUUGUGGCAGCUUAGUGGCGGACGGGUGAGUAACGUGUGGAUAACCUGGUCCAUCCAGGGGGACAGCAGCUGGAAACGGCUGAUAAUACCGCAUAAGCGCACACUAUCGCAUGAUAGAGUGUGAAAAGAGAUAUCGGGAUGGAAUGGAUCCGCAUCUGAUUAGCCAGUUGGCGGGGUAGAAGCCCACCAAAGCGACGAUCAGUAGCCGGCCUGAGAGGGCGGACGGCCACAUUGGGACUGAGACACGGCCCAGACUCCUACGGGAGGCAGCAGUGGGGGAUAUUGCACAAUGGGGGGAACCCUGAUGCAGCGACGCCGCGUGGGUGAAGAAGUAUUUCGGUAUGUAAAGCCCUAUCAGCAGGGAAGAUAAUGACGGUACCUGAGUAAGAAGCCCCGGCUAACUACGUGCCAGCAGCCGCGGUAAUACGUAGGGGGCAAGCGUUAUCCGGAUUUACUGGGUGUAAAGGGAGCGCAGACGGAAGCGGAAGUCAGAUGUGGAAGCCCCGGGCAUAACCCGGGGAGGGCAUUUGAAACUCUUUCUUAUAGAGUACUGGAGGGGUGAGCGGAAUUCCUGGUGUAGCGGUGAAAUGCGUAGAUAUCAGGAAGAACACCGGCGGCGAAGGCGGCUCACUGGACAGCAACUGACGUUGAGGCUCGAAAGCGUGGGGAGCAAACA